rnacentral:rRNA from 1 species
GGGUCAGUAGGUCGGUCGUGCCACCGGUACGUACUGGUCUCACUGAUUCCUCCUUCCUGAAGAACCGUAAUGCCAUUAAUUUGGUGUUGCGGGGAAACAGGACUGUUACUUUGAAAAAAUUAGAGUGUUUAAAGCAAGCUAACGCUUGAAUACAUUAGCAUGGAACAAUGAAAUAGGACGAUCGAUCCUAUUUUGUUGGUUUCUAGGAUUGACGUA